CCUGUUUUAUCUCUGAGGAACAGAAUAUCUGCAGUUUUCUUCUCUUUAUGUUUUUAAACGUAAACAACAACAGUAACUAUAGAACAAAUACUGCUGGAGGAUGCAGCACGAACACUUCCACAGUACUUCUACAUAUAUUGAAAUACAUCAGCUGGCUGAUGAACUUCUUGGCCAGGUCGCUGGUGUGGCAGAAGAACUCUUCGUCGAACUCGUAGUUUAUGGCCGAGAUGUUUCCCAGAGUGUCCUGUUUGGUUUCUCCCAGGAAAGGAGAAGCUCCACUGAGGCUGGAACCAUCAGAACCAACAGAUCAGGAUGUAGGUGAUGACUCCGAUGCUCCACAUGUCGGCUUCUAGUCCCAGCGGUUCGUAGUUCACGAUCUCUGGAGCUGAAGACAGAAAACAACAGACGGAUUAAUAAAUAAAAACAACAGAUGGAUCAAUGAAUAAAAAGAAAACAACAGACGGGUUAAUAAAUAAACAGAAAACAGCUGCUGUAGAUUUAUUUCUCCAGGUUCAUUUCACAUCCUGUUUGUCUGCAUAUUUUUAGAUAAUUGGAGGUAAAUUUGUUUGAAAUUUGAUCCACAGAAGCAGAAUAUGGACCUGAGGAUUCCUUUUUCAAAACUUUUAAUGUCUCUGCAAGACAAUUCCAUAUUAUAUUUGUUAUAUUUCUGCUUUUUAUGUUCUGAUUUUAUAUUAACAAUUAGAUUUUCUCACCUACAAACUCCGGUGUCCCGAAGAUGUUUUUGAACUCAACUCCGGCUUCGAUCUUGUGAGCGAGGCCGAAGUCGAUGAGUUUGAUUCUGGGCAGCGGAACGUUCUUGUCCAGCAGCAUGAUGUUCUCCGGCUGCAGACGGCAGGAAACACGACUUUAGAAUCAGCAAAGACAAACAGACGGGAAGCAGCUUCACAUGUUCAAAAGGUCACGUGUGUUUCUCUGCAUGUUUCUGCAUUUUGUUCUGUUAACAAGCUCUUUGUCUGGAAGAAUAAACCAAUAAACUGAUGGAGAAUAA